rnacentral:rRNA from 1 species
GGGGAAUAUUGGGGCAAUGGGGCGAAAGCCUGACUCGGCAACGCCGCGUGAAGGAAGAAGGUCUUCGGAUUGUAAACUUCUUUUAUCAGGGACGAAGGAAGUGACGGUACCUGAUGAAUAGGCCACGGCUAACUACGUGCCAGCAGCCGCGGUAAUACGUAGGGUGCAAGCGUUAAUCGGAAUAACUGGGCGUAAAGGGCAUGCAGGCGGUUAUACAAGUAGGAUGUGAAAGCCUGGGGCUCAACCUCAGAACUGCAUUCUAAACUGUGUGACUAGAGUAUUGCAGGGGGAGACGGAAUUUCAGGUGUAGCGGUGGAAUGCGUAGAUAUCUGAAAGAACACCAAAGGCGAAGGCAGUCUCCUGGGCAAAUACUGACGCUCAUAUGCGAAAGCGUAGGUAGCAAACAGGAUUAGAUACCCUGGUAGU